UACGUAGGGACCAAGCGUUGUUCGGAUUUACUGGGCGUAAAGGGCGCGUAGGCGGCUUGACAAGUCACUUGUGGAAUCUCCGGGCUUAACUCGGAACGGCCAAGUGAAACUGUCAUGCUAGAGUGCAGAAGGGGCAAUCGGAAUUCUUGGUGUAGCGGUGAAAUGCGUAGAUAUCAAGAGGAACACCUGAGGUGAAGACGGGUUGCUGGGCUGACACUGACGCUGAGGCGCGAAAGCCAGGGGAGCAAACGGG
rnacentral:rRNA from 1 species